rnacentral:rRNA from 1 species
AUUGAACGCUGGCGGCAGGCCUAACACAUGCAAGUCGAGCGAGUGGCGGACGGGUGAGUAAUGUCUGGGAAACUGCCUGAUGGAGGGGGAUAACUACUGGAAAAGGUAGCUAAUACCGCAUACCAUCGGAUGUGCCCAGAUGGGAUUAGCUAGUAGGGGGGGGAACGGCUCACCUAGGCGACGAUCCAUAGCUGGUCUGAGAGGCGGACCAGCACACCUGGAACUGAGACACGGUCCAGACUCCUACGGGAGGCAUCAGUGGGGAAUAUUGCACAAUGGGCGCAAGCCUUAUGCAGCCAUGCCGCGUGUAUGAAUAAGGCCUUCGGGUUGUAAAGUACUUUCAGCGGGGAGGCGUUACCCGCAGAAGAAGCACCGGCUAACUCCGUGCCAGCCGCCGCGGUAAUAC